GAUGAACGCUGGCGGCGUGCCUAAUACAUGCAAGUCGAGCGAACAGAUGAGGAGCUUGUUCCUCUGAUGUUAGCGGCGGACGGGUGAGUAACACGUGGAUAACCUACCUAUAAGACUGGGAUAACUUCGGGAAACCAGAGCUAAUACCGGAUAAUAUUUUUAACCGCAUGGUUCAAGAGUGAAAGAUGGUAUUGCUGUCCCCUAUAGAUGGAUCGCCUCUUCUUUAGUUAGUUGGUAAGGUAACGGCUAACCAAGGCAAGGUUCAAUAGCCAACCUGAGAGGUGGACCGGCCACACUGGAACGAGGACACGGCCCAGACCCUAACGGGAGGCAGCAGUAGGGAACCUUCCGCAUGGGGCGAAAGCCUGACGGAGCAACGCCGCGUGAUUGAGGAAGGUCUUCGAAUCGUAAAACUCUGUGAUAAGGGAAGAACAUAUGUGGAAGGAACUGUGCACAACGUGACGGUACCUAAUCAGAAAGCCACGGCUAACUACGUG
rnacentral:rRNA from 1 species